UACCUUUAUUCUCUCUGUAUGAUAAUUUCUAUGUUUGCAGAUCUUUCCAAUGUUGCUGUGGUAGUGAUUAUAAAUGAGAUAGCAGUAUUGCAUACGUAUGUGUCUGGAUAUCAAAGAGGCUUCAUCAGUCCAUGUACGAUGAUAUUUUGAAUUUGAUAUUAUAUAAAAGUACCAAACAAAAACGUAUGAUGGUUGAAAUCCCGAAACAUCUCAAUACAUACUACAAUUUUGUCGGAAUUGUUUGAGGUAAAAAGUGGAAUUUCUUUCUUUCUUUGAAUUGUAGCCUGUAAGAUUGGGUAUUUCGGGAGAGAUUGUACACAGUAAUGCUCCUUCCUCUUCUUGGGAAAGGGAUGUCAGUUAUCGUAGAUUAGGGUAAUCAUGCAAAAGGAUGCCCAAUAAAGGUGUAAGAAAGAGUAAUUAUCAAAAUAUAUGAAACUUAGAAACAACAUGGAAUAUUGCACAAUGAUUAUCGUAAAAAAGAUUUACUUGUUUAGGUUUCAGAUUGUACCUCAGGUUACAUUGUAUGUAGUUGACUUUUGUGAAGUUAAUACAUUUCUUCUCUAUCAUACAUGUACUAAUUUGUGCCUACUUCUAUGUAACAAGUAAAUGAAUAUGCUUUACAACUAACGAAAUAAAACGGUCAUUUAAAAGUAAAUAGAAAUUAAGGAUACAAUGACGUGUUAAAGCAAUUCUGAAAGAUAUUGUCACGGAAGUGGUAACAACGCCUGCUCCAAAGUCCAGGAUGACCCUUAACAUUUUCGUAUCACUGCUGAUGUCCAAGGAAGACUUCCAUCAUGAGACACUUCACCUGUUCUAUCUACGAUUCGAGAGAUGCAGAAAGAUUGUCCGUCAGGCUAUGUAGGGGAUGUUUGUGACUUGAAAUGCCGGUAUCCAAGUUUUUGUACGGACUGUCAGAAUAAAUGUUUGUGUGAACAGGAGACGUGUGAUCCAGCAAAUGGAUGCCAAGGUGGGAAGUAUUAUUAUUACAAAUAUUUAUGUAUGUUACCUGUGCUUAACAAGGAAAUUUAUACUUUACAACUUACAAAAUGAAAACAAAUAUUUCUUUAAAAGUAAAUAGAAAUAAAGUAUACAAUGAUGUGAUGCAAUUUUGGAAGAUAUUGUCAUGGAAGUGGUAACAACACCUGAUGCAAUGUCCAGGAUGACCCAUGGUAUCUCCGUGUCACCAAGACAUGAUGCUGACAUUGACACUUCAACUUUUCUAUCAAGGACUACAAUCUCGCAGAAACGUAAAGAAAACAAAAAUAAAAUACAAUGCUCGUUUACACAAAUGGGCAAUCACUUUACUUCGAAUCAGCUCAGUAUUCAAACUAAAUUACAGCAAAAUAAAAUUACACUGUGAUCACACGGAGAAUAUUGUCUGGCGUGUUUUAUAAUAAUUGUUAGAUCGUUCUCUGAAAGGUGAUUUUGACUAUGGAUUAUUUCUUUUGCUGAUCAAGAUGUAGGGCUCACAACGAGUGUGACCCGUUGACAGAAGAUAUAUACUCCUCCUAGGCACCUGAUCGCACCUCUUGUAUAUCCAGGGGUCUAUGUUUACACAAGUUUUGAUUUUGUAUUUCUGAUAGGAGCUAUGAGAUUUAUUACUGUUCGUUAUCUUCACGUUUUUAUGAUAUGUGCUACACCGAUCCAGAUUCAAUUCUUUUGUCAUCCUCGAUAUGAGAAAGAGAUAACUUGCUAGGAAAGAAAGGACAUCGUUAGUUUUGAGUGUUCUUCUAUUUGGAUCUUCUAAACAAUCUGGCUGAAAUGUGUUGAUCUAGAAAAAACAAAACAAAAUAGAAGGUCAACACAACCCUUAAAUGUUCAGAACAAAUUAACCAAAUUCUAAGUUGGUUUGUAUAUUAUUCGAAUCAUAUUGAUAAGCUUUAAAUUUUAUUAGAAUAUUAGUGCUGCUCUGUCAAAAUACAAGCGUUAGUAUAGUUGUUUGUUUGUGUUUCCAUGGAUCGUUGUUUUACGGAAAACUAAAAUCAUAAAGAAUUUUAAGAUUGCAAUGUUCAAUUUUUUAAAAAAAGAAUCGAGAUAGCAAAUAUCCAUUUUAAACUACACAUUGGGUGAGAUUUUACAAAUUAAAAAAAAAAAUCAUCCAUGUACCUUUGAGUUGAAUGAAAUGUUAGAUGUUUGCAAUAUCAGAUAAAAAUGGAAUUACAAAAAAAUCAUGAUUUAUUUUUAUUUUUGGUAGAUUACUGAAAACCCGCUAUUGUAAGUACUUUAGACAAGAUUUGCACUCUGCCUGUAAACAAAGAUGAUUAACUAUGUAUCGUUUUGUAUGCUCUAGCCUCCGAUUUUGAUGCUUUAGUUUAGUCGGUCAUAUAAUAAAAGAAUGUUGUCCAUUUACGUAGAAAGUCAAUUCAACAAGUGUACUGCCCCAAAGUGAGUGAAGUCAGUGAUUAAGCUAUUCGCGACGGAUCACGGAAUAUUGUUAGAUAAAUAUGAGACGUUGACGAUGGAGAGACUGAAAUCAUCCCAUGUGUCAUAGACUUGACCUGUCAGUUUCCCUUUUGACAUCUAUUUCAAUAAACUAUCCAAAUAUGAAGAUGUGAAAGUCGUUGUGGUGUCUUGUAUUUCGAGUUUACCUGGAUAUAUCGAAUCUACAAACGUCAAUACAAAGUCACGCUGCAUCAAUGCGGGAAAAUUUGAACGAGAAGGAAAGAGUCAUGGUUGUCAGCAUUACGAGGCUAGGACUACUGUUUCUUAUCUUGACAGCUAUUUAUAUCUGGGUAUCUCAUCGCAUUCAUGUAGAAACAAAGAAUCGUGGCAAAGUAAUAGAAUAUUUAGAUAAGAACUCUGCAAUAUGAAGAACGGUUGAUCUGUUGUUACAAAGUGCAGUGUAUCUGGACAUGGUGUGUAAUGUCUGUUUUUGUAUUUACCUAUGUUUUGUAAUUGAGAGACUUUUCAUACUUUAUUAUGUAUAAUUGUAUAUGUAAUCUGUGA